rnacentral:SRP_RNA from 1 species
GCCGGGUGUUGUGGCGGGCACCUGUGAUCCCAGCUACCCGGGAGGCUGAGGCAGGAGAAUCGCUUGAACCUGGGAGGCAGAGGUUGCAGUGAGCCGAGAUCACUCCGCUGCACUCCAGCCUAGGUGACAGAGCAAGACUCUGUCUCAA